rnacentral:ncRNA from 1 species
UGGGCGUGUCACCCGCUGCUGAACACAUAGGCAGUGUGGAGGGAGCGCGGGGAAGUGAAACAUCUCAGUACCCGCAGGAAGAGAAAACAACCGUGAUUCCGGGAGUAGUGGCGAGCGAAACCGGAUGAGGCAAACCGUAUGCGUGUGAGACCCGGCAGGGGUUGCGUAUACGGGGUUGUGGGAUCUCUCUUUCACGGUCUGCCGGCCGUGAGACGAGUCAGAAACCGUUGAUGUAGGCGAAGGACA